UACAGAGGGCGCGAGCGUUAAUCGGAAUUACUGGGCGUAAAGCGUGCGUAGGCGGUUAUGUAAGUCAGAUGUGAAAGCCCCGGGCUCAACCUGGGAAUUGCAUUUGAGACUGUGUAGCUAGGGUGCGGAAGAGGGAAGCGGAAUUUCCGGUGUAGCGGUGAAAUGCGUAGAUAUCGGAAGGAACACCAGUGGCGAAAGCGGCUUCCUGGUCCAGCACCGACGUUCAGGCACGAAAGCGUGGGGAGCAAACAGG
rnacentral:rRNA from 1 species